rnacentral:ncRNA from 1 species
GACACGGGGAGGUAGUGACAAUAAAUAACAAUACCGGGCUCUAUGAGUCUGGUAAUUGAAAUGAGUACAAUCUAUAUCCCUUAAUGAGGAUCCAUUGGAGGGCAAGUCUGGUGCCAGCAGCCGCGGUAAUUCCAGCUCCAAUAGCAUAGAUUUAAGUUCUUGCAGUUAAAAGGCUCCUAGUUGGACUUAGGGGUGGGUCAGCCGGUCCGCCUCACGGUGAGCACCGGUCUGCUCGUCCCUACUGCCGGCGA